rnacentral:rRNA from 1 species
UACGAAGGGGCUAGCGUUGUUCGGAAUUACUGGGCGUAAAGCGCACGUAGGCGGAUAUUUAAGUCAGGGGUGAAAUCCGGGGCUCAACCCCGGAACUGCCUUUGAUACCGGUGUAUCUCGAGUCCGAGAGAGGUGAGUGGAAUUCCGAGUGUAGAGGUGAAAUUCGUAGAUAUUCGGAGGAACACCAGAGGCGAAGGCGGCUAC